UACGUAGGGAGCAAGCGUUGUCCGGAUUUACUGGGCGUAAAGAGCGCGUAGGCGGAAGCUUAAGUGUGGCCUGAAAGCCCCCGGCUCAACCGGGGAGGGUGGCUGCAAACUGGGCUUCUUGAGGGGGAUAGAGGAAGGUGGAAUUCCGGGUGUAGCGGUGAAAUGCGUAGAGAUCCGGAGGAACACCAGUGGCGAAGGCGGCUCUCUGGACCGAUACUGACGCUGAGGCGCGAAAGCGUGGGGAGCAAACAGG
rnacentral:rRNA from 1 species